CCAGCCCCGGCCGCCACCGCCGCCGCUGCUGCUGCAGCCACCGCCCAGGGCGUCCUGGGCGGGCGGAGGGAGCGGGGCAGCCUGUACUUCUGCGGUGGAGACGGAGGGGGAAAUCUACGGCGCGCCUGCGAUUGGCACGGCCGCGGGGGCGCGCAGGCGCUCCCGAAUUGCUUUGCGGCCUCUGAGGCGCUCGGGGGCGUCAGUGAGCCGGGGAGGGGAGAGGGAGCCGUCCCAGCGCCCGCUGGCCUGGGCCAUAGCCCGAGGGCGGCAGGGGCUGAGCUGCCGGCUGGUUGCCAGCAUGCCAGAGCUCGGCUUGGCUGAAGGCUGGGGACUGCGUGCCAGCUGAUACAACUGCUCUGCUGCGCGGUACAAAGGGGAAGGUAACGAUGAGGAGGGUCAUCAGCCGAGGCCGAGGCCGAGGCCUCCUGCUCGAGUUUCUCACAGCGCACUGCAGUUUCCGGCGCUUCUGUGAGGCGGAAGGGAGACGGCUCAUGUCUAUGAGCAACAGUUCUAAUUAAUACACGCUCCCCUGCAGAACCAUUUUCUGCCUUUCUUGAUGCUAAAAACAGUUUGAUUCCCAUUGCAUGGCAUUUCCCAUAUGAGGAUGGGGAGAAACACAUCCACACGGAUGUUAGAAAGAGUUUUUACACUCAGUUUAAAACUGGUGGUACUAGUCAGUAAUUACUUUGGGGGCGCUGGCAGUUGCAUGUACAUAUUUGUUUCAUUUGGUGUUUAAAUAAUUAGCACGUUUAUGUAUUCAACUUUCUUGCUAGUGCCUCGGUAGUGGAACUUGAUUCAAGUGAAUAUGUUUAUAACGUGCAAUUAUAGAUAAUAUUUAACUGAGCUUAGUGUACAAAAAGAUAAGUCAUCGUAACAUAAGAUCUACAUUACAAGGCAAAGUGUUAGCACCUGACACCAAUCAAGACUCCUUCUGCCUCAAACUAUUGUAGUUUUUCAUCUGUACAGUCGGAUACAAGCAUUCAUCUUUCAGUCAAAUGUGCAAAGUGCUUUUAGCUGCUACAGUCAGCUUUUUGUUAAGGUAAGCGUUAGUGAAAAUACACUACAAGAAUGACUACAGGAGACCGCAAAUGAUCAGCGGCAAAACAGAGGUGUGAUAGGACUUCUGAUCCCAAUAUACUCCAAGUCCAGGAAAGUUCCUAGAAACAGAAGAGUUUCUCUUCCCAUCAAAGACAUUUCCCUGAAUUUGAGCUGGUGAAAAUGCAUGCUGCUGGCGACUCCAGGGGACAGUGAAUGAAGAGCGGCAUCAGGAAGACAGACUGUCCUCUGUACUCCUGACUGCUUUCUUCUGAUUCUUGCAUUGACCUUUGAUCUUCAUAAACACCCUUGCACCCUCCUGCCUAUCUAAUCUAGCUGGUUAAUCCUGUUGUAGACAUCACCUGCAGGCAAGGCCAGGACACGCUACAUGAAAAUCUGCUGAAUCACCCUGAAUCGAAUAGUAAGCCGGGAUGUUCUUGUAUUGCACAACAAGGCUGUCUGCAUUGCGGUCUAUCAAACAAAGACAGUAUCGGUACCGUACAGGGCUCUCUCCUUCAGGUCCUUCCCGUAGAGGUUGUACUUUGCUGCUAUGUAGUUGCCAAUGGCUCUAGUCUGCACCAUCUUGAUCCCGUCGAUCUCCACCAUGGGCACUUGCUGAAACAGCAGGGCUCCACCUAGAAUAAAAGGGACAUGACAAACAAGACAUUCAGCCUCUGAAGGAGUACCAUCAGUGGGUAUCUGGCAAAAUGUCUUACGAUCCAUAUUAUUUUUGAUUUGAGACAGUCUUCGUCACUCUCAGAUUAUGGUAUGGAAAAAGCUUACCAUAAAAUGAAGAAGCAUUUGUGGGUGAUAGGUUAAUCUAAUAUUAUAACAAUCAGCUUCUUGAAGUUUCUUCAAAUCUGAUGAAGCACCCGAAUGCAGAAGCUUCAGGAAUCACACACUGAAAAGGACAAGUCCUGCACUGCACGGUCCUAACUCAGAUGAAUUUCCAUUGAGGUUGACACAGAUGGGAAGGACUGAAGGACCUGACCCAUCUGACCCAUCACAAACCAGUUUCUGUCAUGCUACGAUAAAUAUUAUGGAAAUAUGGACUAUUUAAAAGCUUGUCAACAUGAAUGCCAAUACAAAUGUUUAUACUUAUCUUUGUGACUACUCUACUGACUUUAACUGAUCAGAGAUGUAAGUCAGAGUAAUUACUCUAUAGGAUGACAUUUAUUGUCUUAAAUAACCUAUCGAUUAUGUCCAUCUUUGGAUCCACUGUAAGGCAAGUGUGCAUAGAAACUGUUUGCUAUUAAAGGCAUAUUUUUAUUAUUA